rnacentral:rRNA from 1 species
GCAUAUCAAUAAGCGGAGGAAAAGAAACUAACAAGGAUUCCCUUAGUAACGGCGAGUGAAGUGGGAAGAGUUCAAAUUUUAAAUCCCCGGGGUUCCCCCGGUGAAUUGUAUUUUGAAGAAAGUGUUUUGACAUUCGGUUUAAUCUAAAUCCUUUGGGAUAAGGUAUCACAGAGGGUGAGAAUCCCGUUCGUGAUUAGGCAUCGAGUGUCAUCCAAUUCACUUUCUAAGAGUCGAGUUGUUUGGGAUUGCAGCUCAAAAUGGGUGGUAAAUUUCACCUAAGGCUAAAUAUCAGCAAGAGACCAAUAGCGAACAAGUACCGUGAGGGAAAGAUGAAAAGAACUUUGAAAAGAGAGUUAAAUAGUACGUGAAAUUGUUGAAAGGGAAACGAUUGAAGUCAGUCAUGCUGGUGAGGAAUCAACAUGAGGGUUCGCUUUCGUGUGCACUUCUUCGCUUGGCAGGUUAGCAUCAAUUUUGGUCGUCAUAAAAUUAUCGGGGUAAGGUGGCUCCCCUCGGGGAGUGUUAUAGACCUUGGUAGAUGUGAUGACCGGGAUUGAGGAUUGCAGCGAAUGCUACUUGGCUAGUCACCUGGAUUUCUGUUGAUCACCUCGCCGUCGAUAGCUUUGCUAACCUCGGUGGGAUCUGAUUAACUAGAGAUUAGACUAAUCGUAANUUCGCUAAGGAUGCUGACGUAAUGGCUUUAAACGACCCGUCUUGAAACACGGACCAAGGAGUCUAACAUAUGUGCGAGUGUUA